UCAAUGAAGAUAAAUUAUAGAUGGGAGAAUUAAUGCUACUCAGGAUGCUGCUGGACGAGCCAACAGAUACUAAUUUGUUAAAAACAGCAAUUACAACCAAAAUUAAGGCUGGAGUCAAAGGAGUCACCAUCCCCCCUCACUUAGGGAGUCAUGGUUUCCUGUAGCACCAUACUUCAAGCACCAUUAACGUGUAUGAAGAUACAGAAUGUCUGCUAUCAGAUUCACCAAUGGCACAGAAAUUUAAGGAGGAUAAGAUCGUCUUUCACAUGGAUCCAGAGUGUAUCAGUGAGUAGAAUCUACCAGGUUGAAAUGUGAUGGUGAUAGUGCCAAUUCUUAAUACCUGGAUCUAAACAUUAUUGGUAAA